UUAGUUAUUUACCACCGUGCCCUCUCACCAAUCUCAAAACCCUAAUCUUUGCUACAAGUCUCCGUCUCUGUGCAUUCUGCCCGAUUUCAGAUAAUUCUAGGGAACAAUGAGUCGCUCGAGUAGAACACUCUAUGUUGGCAAUCUUCCCGGUGAUAUUCGCGAAAGGGAAGUAGAAGAUAUCUUUUACAAGUAUGGACCAAUUGCCCACAUUGAUUUGAAGAUCCCGCCAAGGCCCCCUGGUUAUGCCUUUGUCGAGUUUGAAGAGGCUCGUGAUGCUGAAGAUGCUAUUCGUGGUCGUGAUGGUUAUGAUUUUGAGGGGCAUCGGCUGCGGGUAGAGCUUGCACAUGGAGGGCGCGGAAAUUCGUCAGCUGUCGAUCGUUACAGUGGUUAUAAGAAAGGAGGAGGAGGAGGAGGAGGAGGAGGUGGUGGGCGUGGUGGAGUGUCUAGGCGCUCUGAAUAUCGAGUGUUAGUCACCGGAUUGCCUAGCUCUGCUUCAUGGCAAGACCUUAAGGAUCACAUGCGUCGGGCAGGGGAUGUCUGCUUCUCCCAAGUUUUUCGUGAUGCAACUGGCACAAAGGGGAUUGUGGACUAUACUAGCUAUGAUGACAUGAAAUAUGCAAUUAGGAAACUCGACGACUCUGAGUUUCGGAAUGCUUUUUCUGAUGGAAUAGUUCGUGUGAGAGAAUAUAAAUCAAGUCGAAGUCGAAGCCGGAGCCAGAGCCGGAGCUAUUCUAGGAGCCGUAGUCCUUCUGACUCGAAAGGCAGGAGCUACAGUCGAAGCAGGAGUAGGAGCAGGAGCAAGUCUCCCAAAGCCAAAUCUUCUCGUCGCUCGCCUUCUAGAUCUCGUUCACGAUCUGCUUCUCCUCACGCUCGUUCUGGAUCAAAGCUGCGCUCUCAGUCGAGAUAUGGAUUUUGCGGCGAUCUGGGGAUUGCAUAUUAGGAUCUUGCAUCUUGGUUGGAUAUGGUUCAAAUGCCUGCUGCCUGCAACUCUUUCGGUUGUGGAGGUAUGGCGUUUUCUAGAUGGGCAGCUUUAGAAAUCUUCAUGGUAUGUAUGUUCUAAUACGUUAAGCAUCACAAAUGUCCGUGGGUGCUAGAUUGGGAACAAAGAUCAUGGAUUGCUCUGGUAAAGCUGGAAUUUGAACCAAGUGCAUUGGCAUUUGGAAACCACCAUCUGCGGUAGAAACCAUUUUACUGUCAUUGCUAUUCAACAAAGUCAUAUGCUAAUAGGGCAGGUGUAUGGACUCUUUGUUGGCCAUUUGGGCAUCCUGCUUACUGCUGUCUUAGACAACCAUUGUGUGGCUUCCAUUAACGAUUGCACUAUCUCCAUCAAGAUCCAGAUCUCCUGUACCAUCUCGCCAGAAGCAUGAUAAUAAAACCCUCAAAAAGCGCAGUGCUAGCCGGAGCCGCAGCAGGAGCAAGACUUUAUCCAGGUGAGAUUUGGUCAAGGUUGUAUCUGUUGACUCCAGUUGCAGUUACAAGGGACUGUUGCUUCACACCUUAUAGUUAUGUAUUUGGGUUGACAGUUUGAUCGAGUUUGGUUGGACUUGGGAUAGCGAACAUUUGUUAUCAUUUCGGAAGUCUAUUUUCUUGUUAAGUGCUUGUUGAAACUAGAACACAAAUAUUACAUUGUUUGUUGUGAGUUUUGCUUGAUUUUGCCUUAAGGCACAGAUAUUCAUUUCGGUUAUUGGUGUGGAUUGCUCAGAGUUA